UUCGGUCUGAGGAAGAAGACCAAAGGGUCUAAUUUCUUAGACCAAGAGCCUCUUCACCACAUCAAGGAGCCCUAGAAGAGGUCUUGUUUUUUUAUUUACAUAAUUUCUAUGUUUCCAUUACUUUGCUGUUUGUCAUUUCCAUUUCUUAGUUUAUUUAAUAUUCAUUACACACUAAAACAUAUCUUCAACAGGCACUGACAACUACAGAACUGGAAUUAAAGGAUGUUAUUGCUCCAUUUAGUCAAGAUCAUUCUUCUCCAUUAGGUGCACCUACUACUGUCCCAAUUCAGGGACGGGGAAAGCAGCAUCUUCACCAGUUAGAUUUGUUUAAUUUUACUCCAGAAUUAAGUGUCCAGGAAACUACAGUAACAGAGGGAAAUUCAAAGACCAAUGAUGAUCUUAAGAAUAGCAGCCAUCUUCAGACAGCAAAUGCACAGCUCUUCAAGUUUGCUCUCAGGCACAUUAUUGAAGAGAAAUUUUAAGAGCAAGGCCAACUAAUUGUUACUGUUUUGCUUAUUAAAUUAAUUUUAAUAA